AUGUGUGAAAGUAAAUUGUCUGAGUGCAUUGACGUGGAGACUGUUGCAACAACAUUGGUUUUAGCAGAGCAACACCAUUGCCAGGUCCUCAAAGAAGCUUGUGUUGAGUUUAUGGCUCCACGGAAUGUUCUACAAGCUGUUAUGGCAACCGAUGGUUCCAAGCAUUUGGUAGCAAGCUGUCCUUUGGUCAUGAAGGAGUUACUGGACAUGGUGUCCCGUGGUGGCUAG
rnacentral:rRNA from 1 species